GGUGUUUCCUUAAAACGGCCAGAUUUCUGUCACUCGUUCUUCUCCCGAGGGAUUAUCGAUUGGAGGCUGUCACGCCAUUAUUACCUAUGGUUAAAUUUUUACUUAGCCGAUGUCGAAGUUACAUGACUUCACUUGCACUAUGGAAGAUCGCUGGACGUUGCCGUACUCAAGUGGUCAUAAGACAAGUUAGCUAUCGUUAUGAAUUCUAUCCAACGCUCUCUAAUCUUCCUAAGGCUUUUGAUUUUGCUCGUCACAUUAUUUGACAAGAACGCAUUUGCGGAGGCCGUGUCUAGCGAUGCAAAGCGAUCCCUGCGGCUUCAUGAACUGCUGACCGCGGAAGAGACGGUGAGAUUGUUCAAUGAUAAACAAGCUGUUCCAGACUAUGAGAUCACACAGCUGUCCAAUCACAGGGCACCACGAGAUCUCCAUGACAACCAUAGACUCCAUAGCCUUAAAGCGUUCGAUAAAGACUUCCAGUUAUCACUCCAGCCAGCAGAAGACGUCGUUUCGCCCCAGCUAGUGCUCAUGCGCAGAAGACCUGGUGACGUAUGGACAAAAGAGCUGUACACUCCCAAGGGCACGUUCCUACAAGGUCAUGUGACACAAGAUCCGCGAUCCCAUGUGGCUGUGCGGGAACUGGGCUCCAACCAGCUGAGCGGCGCCAUUAUAAGCGACGGUCACGAGUACAAGAUCGAGCCUGUGCCUCAUCACAUCAGACGGAAAAUGAACCUGGAAGGGCACCGACAUCACGUGAUCAGCAGAAGAAGCUUGCGCUCCAAAGGGUCCCACGCGGAACCCUUAAAAGUUCCCGGAAAGUCGACUGAGCAAUACACGACCAGCAAGCGCACUAGGAGGAGCCUGGACCCGAAAGUGAUUGAAGUCAUGAUGACACUUGACGAGCCGUCUGUGGGUUUCUAUGGCAACCAGAGUAUGAACUAUGUGUUAGGAGUAGCGAACAUGGUCCACAGGCUUUACCGUGACAAGUCCAUUGGCUUUGACUGCUCAUUCACACUGACGAAAGUCUUUUUGAUCGAAUCAUACCUGGCGGAGCUCGACAUCAAAUUGAACGAAAUCGGCUCUGCUUCUAAGUACCUGAGCGUGUUCAGCAAAUGGUUCCAGACGGUCAACACUCCAGCAGGGUCUGUGGAGCACUUUGAUAAUGCCGUCAUGCUUACAAGAGAUAUUUGUGGAACCAACAGUUGUCAACUUGAUGGUCUCGCGUACUUUGGCUAUCCUUGCAGCACAAGCCUCGGAGCGAGCGUCAAUGAUGCGCACGGCGUCUCCGCCGCCUUCUCGGUUGCUCAUGAAGUGGCACACAAUUUUGGUGUUGAUCACGACUCCGGUUCAUGUUAUGAUGGCUUUAUAAUGAGCGCUGGGCAAGCGACGGGAGUAAAUGCCUUCAAGUGGUCUGCAUGCAGCCAGACGACCCUAACAAGGGUAUUCAGCCAAGUCACGUGUUACGACAACAAACCACCAAAGGAAAUCAUUCUCCCCAGUCUUCCGCCCGGAUAUGAGUUUGAUGGUGAUCAACAAUGCAAGUUUAUAUAUGGCUCGCAAUACACGCUCUGCCCUGUUACCACGAACAAUUGUGGUACUCUUUUUUGCCUGCGCGGGUCUGAUUGUAUCACCUCUCGAGGCGGGCCCCCUGUGGACGGAACCCCAUGCGGAAACAGAAAGUGGUGUGUCAGCGGUCAUUGCGUGAGUGUCGGUACCAGUCUCCCACCUCCCAUAAACGGUGGAUGGGGGGCUUGGGGCCCGUAUGGAGCCUGCUCAAGAACUUGUGGCGGUGGGGUACGUCAUCGCUCUCGCAAAUGCGACAGCCCAAGUCCUCAGCUUGGCGGCAAACCAUGUGAGGGUAAACCUAUCGGAGAAUGGGUGAUCUGUAACCAACAGGAUUGCCCCCCAGGGGGUGAUUCGUACCGUACUCUUCAGUGCAAGGCCAAGUCUUCAAGUUAUGAUAAGUACUAUCCAUAUGGUGAUCCGUGCACGCUGUGGUGUAUUGAAGGCUCGUCGGCCACAAUUGAGGGCUACGUCGAAGACGGGACAAAGUAUGACCCGUCUGACCCGAAAAAUCGAGACAUCUGCAUCGAUGGCGUAAGAGUGGCUGUUGGAUGCGACGACAUCAUUGGAUCAGGGAAUAUCUUUGACAGGUGUUUUAAGUGCAAGGCCGACGGUGGCAGCUGCAUUCGCAAGGAGUUCUCCUACACAAAGAACUGGGUGAAAUUCGGGCUUGACAAUGCCGACCCGAUGCUCGAGCUUCCUAACGGAACUACAAGAUGCGUGAUCAGGGAGAAUUCACCUACUAAGAAUAUUGUCGUUAUGAAAAUCAAAAAUAGCCAGGAAUUGAUUUUCCCGAACGCAAUAUCAGGAUCAAAGGACGUCGCAGGCACGACAGUGCAUUACAUCCGCGGAGGCCCGUCAAGUGAAGAGAAAAUGUACUUUGAUGGGCCUACAACGCAAGCGCUUGUACCUUUGUUUGCCUAUUUUGGUACGACAAAUGUUGGCUACACGAUAACAUACCACGAGCCAGGCCUGGCCGCACAGACCGCUUUCGUGUGGAAGACCCAUUACACGGGGAAUUGCAGUAAAUCCUGCGCACAAGGCUACAGACCUCAAGCUGUCACAUGUCACCGAGGAGACGAUAACUCUCUAGUGAGCGGUACCUUCUGCGACUCUGGAUCGAGGCCAAGUGACAUGGCAUUAUGCAAUGAUGUGCCUUGUCCCGCAAGUUGGAUUCCCGAGCCAUGGGAGUUGUGUUCAAAGCUUUGCGGUGGUGGUAACACGACUCGACUGGUGCCAUGCAUCCAGCGCGUCACGCAAGAAAUAGUGCGUGGAGUAGAGUACCGAUACUGCGAGGGACAAGUCCGACCUCCUCUAACAUCCACCUGUAAUCAAAUAGACUGCAACCCUGAGUGGCAGGUCGGCACGUGGUCCUCGGUAAGAUCCUCUAACAUCCACCUGUAAUCAAAUAGACUGCAACCCUGAGUGGCAGGUCGGCACGUGGUCCUCGGUAAGAUCCUCUAACAUCCACCUGUAAUCAAAUAGACUGCAACCCUGAGUGGCAGGUCGGCACGUGGUCCUCGGUAAGAUCCUCUAACAUCCACCUGUAAUCAAAUAGACUGCAACCCUGAGUGGCAGGUCGGCACGUGGUCCUCGGUAAGAUCCUCUAACAUCCACCUGUAAUCAAAUAGACUGCAACCCUGAGUGGCAGGUCGGCACGUGGUCCUCGGUAAGAUCCUCUAACAUCCACCUGUAAUCAAAUAGACUGCAACCCUGAGUGGCAGGUCGGCACGUGGUCCUCGGUAAGAUCCUCUAACAUCCACCUGUAAUCAAAUAGACUGCAACCCUGAGUGGCAGGUCGGCACGUGGUCCUCGGUAAGAUCCUCUAACAUCCACCUGUAAUCAAAUAGACUGCAACCCUGAGUGGCAGGUCGGCACGUGGUCCUCGGUAAGAUCCUCUAACAUCCACCUGUAAUCAAAUAGACUGCAACCCUGAGUGGCAGGUCGGCAUGUGGUCCUCGGUAAGAUCCUCUAACAUCCACCUGUAAUCAAAUAGACUGCAACCCUGAGUGGCAGGUCGGCACGUGGUCCUCGGUAAGAUCCUCUAACAUCCACCUGUAAUCAAAUAGACUGCAACCCUGAGUGGCAGGUCGGCAUGUGGUCCUCGGUAAGAUCCUCUAACAUCCACCUGUAAUCAAAUAGACUGCAACCCUGAGUGGCAGGUCGGCACGUGGUCCUCGGUAAGAUCCUCUAACAUCCACCUGUAAUCAAAUAGACUGCAACCCUGAGUGGCAGGUCGGCACGUGGUCCUCGGUAAGAUCCUCUAACAUCCACCUGUAAUCAAAUAGACUGCAACCCUGAGUGGCAGGUCGGCACGUGGUCCUCGGUAAGAUCCUCUAACAUCCACCUGUAAUCAAAUAGACUGCAACCCUGAGUGGCAGGUCGGCACGUGGUCCUCGGUAAGAUCCUCUAACAUCCACCUGUAAUCAAAUAGACUGCAACCCUGAGUGGCAGGUCGGCACGUGGUCCUCGGUAAGAUCCUCUAACAUCCACCUGUAAUCAAAUAGACUGCAACCCUGAGUGGCAGGUCGGCACGUGGUCCUCGUGUCGCGGUCCAAGAGGCUUACCAGGAAUAGCUAUUCGUGACGUCAUUUGCCGACAGCUGCUAGCCAAUGGCAGCUUUAUUCAAGCAGAACCUGAGAGAUGCAAGGCCGUCUCAACGCGCUCGUACCAGACCUCC